CACGCCCGAGUUGUAAUUUGUAGAGGAUGUUUCGGGUGAAGCCGCGGUCCAAGUCCCUUGGAACAGGACGUCAUAGAGGGUGAGAACCCCGUACCUGGCCGCCGGUGCCCCCCGCUGUGAAACUCCUUCGACGAGUCGAGUUGUUUGGGAAUGCAGCUCUAAAUUGGUGGUAAAUUCCAUCUAAAGCUAAAUACCGGCCAGAGACCGAUAGCGCACAAGUAGAGUGAUCGAAAGAUGAAAAGCACUUUGAAAAGAGAGUUAAAAAGUACGUGAAAUUGUUGAAAGGGAAGCGCUUGCGGCCAGACUUGCCUGCGGUUGCUCAUCCCGCCUUUUGGCGGGUGCACUCUUCCGCAGUCAGGCCAGCAUCGGUUUGGGCGGUCGGAUAAAGGCGCCGGGAACGUAGCCUCCCCUCGGGGAGGUGUUAUAGCCCGGCGCGUAAUACGACCAGCCCGGACCGAGGUUCGCGCUUUGCUAGGAUGCUGGCGUAAUGGCCGUAAGCGGCCCGUCUUGAAACACGGACCAAGGAGUCUAACAUCUAUGCGAGUGUUUGGGUGUCAAACCCGUGCGCGUAAUGAAAGUGAACGGAGGUGGGAACCGCAAGGUGCACCAUCGACCGAUCCUGAUGUCUUCGGAAGGAUUUGAGUAAGAGCAUAGCUGUUGGGACCCGAAAGAUGGUGAACUAUGCGUGAAUAGGGUGAAGCCAGAGGAAACUCUGGUGGAGGCUCGCAGCGGUUCUGACGUGCAAAUCGAUCGUCAA
rnacentral:rRNA from 1 species